rnacentral:rRNA from 3 species
UUAAGCGACUAAGCGUACACGGUGGAUGCCCUGGCAGUCAGAGGCGAUGAAGGACGUGCUAAUCUGCGAAAAGCGUCGGUAAGGUGAUAUGAACCGUUAUAACCGGCGAUGUCCGAAUGGGGAAACCCAGUGUGAUUCGUCACACUAUCGUUAACUGAAUACAUAGGUUAACGAGGCGAACCGGGGGAACUGAAACAUCUAAGUACCCCGAGGAAAAGAAAUCAACCGAGAUUCCCCCAGUAGCGGCGAGCGAACGGGGAGCAGCCCAGAGUCUGAAUCAGCUUGUGUGUUAGUGGAACGGUCUGGAAAGUCCGACGGUACAGGGUGAUAGUCCCGUACACCAAAAUGCACAGGUUGUGAACUCGAAGAGUAGGGCGGGACACGUGGUAUCCUGUCUGAAUAUGGGGGGACCAUCCUCCAAGGCUAAAUACUCCUGACUGACCGAUAGUGAACCAGUACCGUGAGGGAAAGGCGAAAAGAACCCCGGCGAGGGGAGUGAAAAAGAACCUGAAACCGUGUACGUACAAGCAGUGGGAGCACCUUCGGGUGUGACUGCGUACCUUUUGUAUAAUGGGUCAGCGACUUAUAUUCUGUAGCAAGGUUAACCGUAUAGGGGAGCCGCAGGGAAACCGAGUCUUAACUGGGCGUUAAGUUGCAGGGUAUAGACCCGAAACCCGGUGAUCUAGCCAUGGGCAGGUUGAAGGUUGGGUAACACUAACUGGAGGACCGAACCGACUAAUGUUGAAAAAUUAGCGGAUGACUUGUGGCUGGGGGUGAAAGGCCAAUCAAACCGGGAGAUAGCUGGUUCUCCCCGAAAGCUAUUUAGGUAGCGCCUCGUGAAUUCAUCUUCGGGGGUAGAGCACUGUUUCGGCUAGGGGGUCAUCCCGACUUACCAACCCGAUGCAAACUACGAAUACCGAAGAAUGUUAUCACGGGAGACACACGGCGGGUGCUAACGUCCGUCGUGAAGAGGGAAACAACCCAGACCGCCAGCUAAGGUCCCAAAGUCAUGGUUAAGUGGGAAACGAUGUGGGAAGGCACAGACAGCCAGGAUGUUGGCUUAGAAGCAGCCAUCAUUUAAAGAAAGCGUAAUAGCUCACUGGUCGAGUCGGCCUGCGCGGAAGAUGUAACGGGGCUAAACCAUGCACCGAAGCUGCGGCAGCGACACUAUGUGUUGUUGGGUAGGGGAGCGUUCUGUAAGCCUGCGAAGGUGUGCUGUGAGGCAUGCUGGAGGUAUCAGAAGUGCGAAUGCUGACAUAAGUAACGAUAAAGCGGGUGAAAAGCCCGCUCGCCGGAAGACCAAGGGUUCCUGUCCAACGUUAAUCGGGGCAGGGUGAGUCGACCCCUAAGGCGAGGCCGAAAGGCGUAGUCGAUGGGAAACAGGUUAAUAUUCCUGUACUUGGUGUUACUGCGAAGGGGGGACGGAGAAGGCUAUGUUAGCCGGGCGACGGUUGUCCCGGUUUAAGCAUGUAGGCUGGUUAUCCAGGCAAAUCCGGAUAAUCAAGGCUGAGGUGUGAUGACGAGGCACUACGGUGCUGAAGUAACAAAUGCCCUGCUUCCAGGAAAAGCCUCUAAGCAUCAGGUAACAUCAAAUCGUACCCCAAACCGACACAGGUGGUCAGGUAGAGAAUACCAAGGCGCUUGAGAGAACUCGGGUGAAGGAACUAGGCAAAAUGGUGCCGUAACUUCGGGAGAAGGCACGCUGGUGUGUAGGUGAAGUCCCUGCGGAUGGAGCUGAGACCAGUCGAAGAUACCAGCUGGCUGCAACUGUUUAUUAAAAACACAGCACUGUGCAAACACGAAAGUGGACGUAUACGGUGUGACGCCUGCCCGGUGCCGGAAGGUUAAUUGAUGGGGUUAUCCGUAAGGAGAAGCUCUUGAUCGAAGCCCCGGUAAACGGCGGCCGUAACUAUAACGGUCCUAAGGUAGCGAAAUUCCUUGUCGGGUAAGUUCCGACCUGCACGAAUGGCGUAAUGAUGGCCAGGCUGUCUCCACCCGAGACUCAGUGAAAUUGAACUCGCUGUGAAGAUGCAGUGUACCCGCGGCAAGACGGAAAGACCCCGUGAACCUUUACUAUAGCUUGACACUGAACAUUGAGCCUUGAUGUGUAGGAUAGGUGGGAGGCUUUGAAGCGUGGACGCCAGUCUGCGUGGAGCCAACCUUGAAAUACCACCCUUUAAUGUUUGAUGUUCUAACGUUGGCCCCUUACCGGGGUUGCGGACAGUGUCUGGUGGGUAGUUUGACUGGGGCGGUCUCCUCCCAAAGCGUAACGGAGGAGCACGAAGGUUAGCUAAUCCUGGUCGGACAUCAGGAGGUUAGUGCAAUGGCAUAAGCUAGCUUGACUGCGAGCGUGACGGCGCGAGCAGGUGCGAAAGCAGGUCAUAGUGAUCCGGUGGUUCUGAAUGGAAGGGCCAUCGCUCAACGGAUAAAAGGUACUCCGGGGAUAACAGGCUGAUACCGCCCAAGAGUUCAUAUCGACGGCGGUGUUUGGCACCUCGAUGUCGGCUCAUCACAUCCUGGGGCUGAAGUAGGUCCCAAGGGUAUGGCUGUUCGCCAUUUAAAGUGGUACGCGAGCUGGGUUUAGAACGUCGUGAGACAGUUCGGUCCCUAUCUGCCGUGGGCGCUGGAGAAUUGAGGGGGGCUGCUCCUAGUACGAGAGGACCGGAGUGGACGCAUCACUGGUGUUCGGGUUGUCAUGCCAAUGGCACUGCCCGGUAGCUAAAUGCGGAAGAGAUAAGUGCUGAAAGCAUCUAAGCACGAAACUUGCCCCGAGAUGAGUUCUCCCUGAGACUUUAAGUCUCCUGAAGGAACGUUGAAGACGACGACGUUGAUAGGCCGGGUGUGUAAGCGCAGCGAUGCGUUGAGCUAACCGGUACUAAUGAACCGUGAGGCUUAACCUU